rnacentral:lncRNA from 1 species
UCUGCGGCGUUGCAUUGGAGCACAGCUUCAGGGGAGGCAGUAGUUUAGAAGGGAUUACGACUGAGGAAUCCCUGGGAGUGACGAGGGGCUUAGUGACGGGUGGUAGAGUAUGAGGGACGACGACGAGGAAGAGGAGCUUUUGCAGCGGGCAUUGGCGGAGCAAGCAGCCAGGGAAGUGAGCUACCAGAGGCCACCAAAUCAGCCGCCUCCAAAUGUGUCGGUAGCGGCAUCAGGUCCGUCUCAACACAAGCCUCGACGCGGUAUAAAACACAUUUCUCUCUCGCCAACUGGCAGAGGACCGCCAAGAAGGGAGGCUCCGCAGACAGAAGUGAACGGUGGCCCACCGAGGAGGAGGUCCUCUAGUGCUAAUGGAGUUCAGGUUGCUGCCCCCCCAAGGAGAGUAGCACCUGCUAAGACUUCAACGAUUGAGCACGAUGAUGAGUCGGAUGUGGAGCUUCUGAGUUUAUCCUCGGAUGAUGAUGAUGAUGAUGAUGAGUCGCAGGGACGUCGCGCGAUCGUGUCAAGCAAUAAGCCAUUGAAGUCUCAGGGCGCAGCAGUGGACGAGGAUGACGAUCUGUGGAAUGAGAACGAUGA